GUGGUAUUAGUUCAGCGGUAGAAUUCUUGAUUGUGGCUCAAGAGAGCAGGGUUCGAAUCCCGAUAUCACCCA
rnacentral:tRNA from 1 species